GGCGACGAUCUGUAGCGGGUCUGAGAGGAUGAUCCCCCACACUGGGACUGAGACACGGCCCAGACUCCUACGGGAGGCAGCAGUGGGGAAUAUUGGACAAUGGGGGGAACCCUGAUCCAGCCAUGCCGCGUGUGUGAAGAAGGCCUUUUGGUUGUAAAGCACUUUAAGCGAGGAGGAGGCUACUUGGAUUAAUACUCUAGGAUAGUGGACGUUACUCGCAGAAUAAGCACCGGCUAACUCUGUGCCAGCAGCCGCGGUAAUACAGAGGGUGCGAGCGUUAAUCGGAUUUACUGGGCGUAAAGCGUGCGUAGGCGGCUUUUUAAGUCGGAUGUGAAAUCCCCGAGCUUAACUUGGGAAUUGCAUUCGAUACUGGGAAGCUAGAGUAUGGGAGAGGAUGGUAGAAUUCCAGGUGUAGCGGUGAAAUGCGUAGAGAUCUGGAGGAAUACCGAUGGCGAAGGCAGCCAUCUGGCCUAAUACUGACGCUGAGGUACGAAAGCAUGGGGAGCAAACAGGAUUAGAUACCCUGGUAGUCCAUGCCGUAAACGAUGUCUACUAGCCGUUGGGGCCUUUGAGGCUUUAGUGGCGCAGCUAACGCGAUAAGUAGACCGCCUGGGGAGUACGGUCGCAAGACUAAAACUCAAAUGAAUUGACGGGGGCCCGCACAAGCGGUGGAGCAUGUGGUUUAAUUCGAUGCAACGCGAAGAACCUUACCUGGCCUUGACAUAGUAAGAACUUUCCAGAGAUGGAUUGGUGCCUUCGGGAACUUACAUACAGGUGCUGCAUGGCUGUCGUCAGCUCGUGUCGUGAGAUGCUGGGUUAAGUCCCGCAACGAGCGCAACCCUUUUCCUUAUUUGCCAGCACUUCGGGUGGGAACUUUAAGGAUACUGCCAGUGACAAACUGGAGGAAGGCGGGGACGACGUCAAGUCAUCAUGGCCCUUACGGCCAGGGCUACACACGUGCUACAAUGGUCGGUACAAAGGGUUGCUACACAGCGAUGUGAUGCUAAUCUCAAAAAGCCGAUCGUAGUCCGGAUUGGAGUCUGCAACUCGACUCUAUGAAGUCGGAAUCGCUAGUAAUCGCGGAUCAGAAUGCCGCGGUGAAUACGUUCCCGGGCCUUGUACACACCGCCCGUCACACCAUGGGAGUUUGUUGCACCAGAAGUAGCUAGCCUAACUGCAAAGAGGGCGGUUACCACGGUGUGGCCGAUGACUGGGGUGAAGUCGUAACAAGGUAGCC
rnacentral:rRNA from 1 species